rnacentral:lncRNA from 10 species
CCGACUGCCACCCCAUCUGGGAGGAGGCAUUUCACACCCACAGGUGCGGCAACUGAGCCUCAGAAAGGUGAAGAGACUUGCCCAAGGCCGCCCAAAGAAUCAGCCUCCAUGUGGGCUCUAAGUCUGCCCUGUUCCUGUCUUUGGGACUCCCGCCCGGAGAGCCCGAGCCCCUCAGCAGCAAAGUCCCAGGGACUGUGGAGGGACUGGGAUAGCUGGACUCCUGUCGGCAGGGAUGCUCAUCACUGGGUGACCUUGGUGACAUGGCCCGCUCUCCUUCCUCCCUGGAACUCGAUGAUCUCAUCUAUCAAAUAGUGCCUGGCCUGCGACCCAGGGAAGCUGGGAGCAUGUCUUGUCUAUACCUCCAGUCCCUCUGGGCCCCUCUCCCAGCCUCCACACACUUCUCCAGCUCAGAGGGUGCCAAACAAGCUCAGCACCCCCUGCUGCUCCCCACCAGGCCCCUUCCAGUCCCACAGUCCCCCAUUUCCUGGGCCAGAGUCCUGAGCAAACCCUUGGAGUCUUCCUUUUCUUGCCCCCACAUGCAGUCACCAGGUCCUUUAGCUUCUCCCAACAAAGGGCCCCAGCUGGCAUCUGUCUCCACCAAGCUUUGGGCUCCCCACAGGUGGGCUCAGGUUGACUCAGCUCAGAGAAAGUUAACUGCGGGACAGGUGCACAGCUCAGCAGCAGGAGGUGGCAGAAGGUGCUGACCCUCCUCGUCAGCUCUGCCUGAGCUGUUUGGACAAUUGUGAAAAAUGAGGUGUAGCUGAUGUUUGCUGCAUUGAACCAAGGUGAAGUGGGGCUUUUCUGCCCCUUCUCCAAGUACCAUGUGCAGAGCUUCUCUUUUGGUUCCAUUCUUUGUUUUUUUUGCUGGCAUCUAGUAGCACCUGACUCCUUUAGAGAUGGCCUAGGAAGGGAGUGAUGGCAAAGCUGGAUUUCUUGUGGGUGGAGCUAAGCAUAGGAAGACCAACGUUCGAUUUUCAAUUUUCACUUCAUGCAGUUAUGAGUUUCUAGCUUUUAUUACAAAACCAAAUGUUUGCAGUGUUCUCCUGUUACUUUUGGAGUUUCCAUAUUUUAAUUGUUUGAACUAUACAUGCUUUCCAAAUAAAUGGGAGGUAUGAGUCUCACAUUCUAAGGGAAGAAUGUGUCUCAGGGAAGCCCUCCCGGACGAAUU